UUGUUUGGUCACUGAAAACUGUACCGAACUGUAAUCUUUAUCAGAUAGCUGUCGGAUUUUAUUUCUUACUCUACGGGUGUCAGAAAAAUAUGAAACUUGAAAUCUAGCCUCAUAAAAAUAUUUUUGACUUAUCCUCCAAUUUUCAUAAUUUUCUGAGACUGUACAUUUUCUGCUAAUUUAUCUGUCCCGUUUCCAACAGAAAAUUCUAGAUCUUCUGUUUUCAUUCCGAUUUCGGCACAAGUCACUUCUGACUUAUGUUUUACUUCUAUAAAUUCAAUAAAAAUAAUUUCUCACACUAUUUUUAUUUAUUUUUAUUUUUAUAUCAAAAUCUGGUAUGUUAUAUUCUCCACCUCUUAAAAGAAUUUCGUCCGCGAAAUUCAAACCACGCCUCGAUUCAGCUCCGCGAGCAAUUGAGGAUACCAACUCAUUCUCCCAC
rnacentral:lncRNA from 1 species